AACAGCCAGCUUUAAUUUUUUUUGGAUGAAAUCAUAUCUUUUCCGAAUUUAAAUAUUUUUAGGUCUAUUUGUUUGAAAAAAUAAAAAUAACUUAAUACACAAAAGAUUAAUUUUAUAAAUUUAACACAAAAAUGAAUUAAGACAAAAAAAAUAAUUAUACAUCUUUAGACCCCCGAAAAUAUAACCCUCUACUGUGAAUACUCUAAGUUUGGCUGAAAAUGGAAAUUCGACUUGCUUGUGAUCUUGGGACCAAUGGCGGCUCAGAAGACAGAGGAGUGUGUGUCCUGGGGCAUGGCCGGCUAUAAUAAUUUGUAGUUGAUGCGUCCCUUUCAGCCAACAGUCAAUCAAGAUGGUGGCAGGGCCAUGGCACACUUGGUUGUCCUUAUGGGCCUUUUCCCUUAUCAGUUGCACUGCAUGCGGCCCCACGUUUUCCAUAUCUGCAAAAUUGAUGCACUCAAAAUAAGAGACAUCAAGCAUCUACAACACCACAAACCACCCAAUCAGAAAAAAAAAAACAUUUUGGUGAGUGUCACACUAUGCUAUCAUAUAUCUUGGACAAAUUACUAAUAUAUAUAUAUUUUUUGGCGCUAAAAGACAUUAUCUUUAUGUAGAAGUCUUUGUAGUUCUGAUUCAAGCAAUCAAAUUCCAUGGCCAGCGAAGAACCUUCUCCAAACUAAGGGAAAGUAAAAUAAAAAUCUUCAAGUUUCAAGGACGGUGAGGAACAAAGUAUGGAAGGUGUGUGAAAUAAAUUUCAUGAUAUUUGAGAAAGACCUUUUGUAUUGGAAAACUAAGAGGAGAGGGCCAACUGGGUCUUUUUGCACACUGAUAUGGUGUGAGCCAAAGAAUAUCUAAUUCAUGUCGGUCUUCGAGUAAGAGAAUGCAAGACCAAAGUUAGAAGGAAAAGGCUAAGUCACUCGUUCCUUCUCUUGAUGUCACUGAUUGUGGGUUUCCAACCAAAGGAAUGCAACAAAGCUACAUAUAGGCUGGAUUGUCUGCCUUAGAUCUAGAUAUUCCAAUGCAUAUAGGGUUUAAAAGUGGCCAGCAUGACUUUAUCCUUUGGUG
rnacentral:lncRNA from 1 species